rnacentral:rRNA from 1 species
GGAUAACCCGGAGAAAUCCGGCCUAAUACCGCAUGUGGCCGAGGGGAGGCAUCUUCUUUCGGCCAAAGGAGGCGACUCCGGAGACGGAUGGGCAUGCGUGACAUUAGCUUGUUGGCGGGGUAACGGCCCACCAAGGCGACGAUGUCUAGGGGUUCUGAGAGGAAGGUCCCCCACACUGGUACUGAGACACGGACCAGACUCCUACGGGAGGCAGCAGUGAGGAAUAUUGGUCAAUGGGCGAGAGCCUGAACCAGCCAAGUCGCGUGAAGGAUGACGGCCCUAUGGGUUGUAAACUUCUUUUGUCAGGGAGCAAUUGGGUCCACGCGUGGGCUUAGCGAGAGUACCUGAAGAAAAAGCAUCGGCUAACUCCGUGCCAGCAGCCGCGGUAAUACGGAGGAUGCGAGCGUUAUCCGGAUUUAUUGGGUUUAAAGGGUGCGUAGGCGGAAUAUCAAGUCAGCGGUAAAAAUUCGGGGCUCAACCCCGUCGUGCCGUUGAAACUGAUGUUCUUGAGUGGGCGAGAAGUAUGCGGAAUGCGUGGUGUAGCGGUGAAAUGCAUAGAUAUCACGCAGAACUCCGAUUGCGAAGGCAGCAUACCGGCGCCCAACUGACGCUGAAGCACGAAAGCGUGGGUAUCGAACAGGAUUAGAUACCCUGGUAGUCCACGCAGUAAACGAUGAAUGCUAAUUGUCCGGA